rnacentral:rRNA from 1 species
AGAGUUUGAUCCUGGCUCAGAACGAACGCUGGCGGUGUGCUUAACACAUGCAAGUCGAACGGGACAUUUCAUGUAGCAAUACAUGAGGUGUUUAGUGGCGGACGGGUGAGUAACGCGUAGGCGACCUGCCCUGAAGAGUGGGAUAACUAGGGGAAACUCUGGCUAAUACCGCAUAAGACCACGGAUUUGGAAAUUUGCGGUCAAAGGAGGCAACUCCGCUUCGGGAUGGGCCUGCGUCCUAUCAGCUAGUUGGUGAGGUAGUGGCUCACCAAGGCUUAGACGGGUAGCCGGACUGAGAGGUUGAACGGCCACACUGGAACUGAGACACGGUCCAGACUCCUACGGGAGGCAGCAGUGGGGAAUUUUGCGCAAUGGACGAAAGUCUGACGCAGCAACGCCGCGUGGGUGAUGAAGGUCUUCGGACUGUAAAACCCUGUCGUCAGGGACGAAGGUUGAGGGGUUAAUAACCCUUCAGCUUGACGGUACCUGGAGAGGAAGCCCCGGCUAACCCUGUGCCAGCAGCCGCGGUAAUACAGAGGGGGCAAGCGUUAUUCGGAAUUAUUGGGCGUAAAGGGCGCGUAGGCGGUUUUUUAAGUCAGAUGUGUAAUCCCCGAGCUCAACUUGGGAACUGCAUCUGAGACUGGAAGGCUAGAGUACUGGAGAGGGUGGUGGAAUUCCUCGUGUAGCGGUGAAAUGCGUAGAGAUGAGGAGGAACACCAGUGGCGAAGGCGGCCACCUGGACAGUAACUGACGCUGAGGCGCGAAAGUGUGGGUAGCAAACAGGAUUAGAUACCCUGGUAGUCC